CAAAAUAUCAGGCUGUUGCCAGGUUGAUUUGUGUGGUGCUUUUGUUGAGUACUCAGCACCCUAAAUUUAAAGAACAAUCAUCAGCAAUCUUCCAUCCUUUCCCUCAGCUAUACAUGCUCAGUGAGACUAACAAAGAAAAGUUUCAAUGCUUUUUUCCCUUACUAAACAAGACUGAAAAUCUACCUCAGAAUAUGAGGGGUGCUGGGUGAAGAAGCUCUACUUCUGUUUGCAUUGAAGCUCAAUAGAGUCCGUGUUAGCCCAUGGUCACAUUUUGCUUAAAAAAAUAAAAAGUGAGAAAAAGAGUUCCAGCUUGUUUCACUGACAUGAUCUGAAUGAAUGGAAAGGGUGCAAAAUUAUCAUCACCUGCCUCACCCAUGUGUUAAACCUAAUUAGCCAUAUCAGUGAACCAACCCGCUCCACCUCUGGAAGGAAGAAAAGGGAACAAAAUGAAGUAAAAUGGAGCAGAGAAGAGAUGAAAGCAAACUUCUCUUCUGUGGCAAAUCUACCACUGUCCUUUCCAAUUGGCAGGGUCUUCCACCUUUAAGCAUGGAGUUAUGAGUCCCAGGCUGCCUGUCAAGUUGUCCCUAUGUGAGAUGCUGAGGGGAAAAGUCCUGAAGACACAUAGAUGUGGUGCAGGGAGUGUAAGCUGCCCCUCCUUGUGGUUCCCAAGGAUUUACAGAAGAGAAUGAAGGAAAACAAUGACCCUCCUGCUGACCCUUCCCUUAGCCUCAUCAAUCACAACUGGAAACCAAAACAUCAAGACCAGCUCUUAAUAGCACAAGAGAUCCAUCACCUUCUUCUGGUUGCCUUCAUCAUUCACUCUGUGCAGUCUCUGGGGGUAUUCCAGGGCAAGGCUGAAGCUGUUGGAGCAGGAUUAUGCACCUGA
rnacentral:lncRNA from 1 species